rnacentral:rRNA from 1 species
GAUGAACGCUGGCGGCGUGCCUAAUACAUGCAAGUCGAGCGAACAGACGAGGAGCUUGCUCCUCUGACGUUAUCGGCGGACGGGUGAGUAACACGUGGAUAACCUACCUAUCAGACUGGGAUAACUUCGGGAAACCGGAGCUAAUACCGGAUAAUAUAUUGAACCGCAUGGUUCAAUAGUGAAAGACGGUUUUGCUGUCACUUAUAGAUGGAUCCGCGCCGCAUUAGCUAGUUGGUAAGGUAACGGCUUACCAAGGCAACGAUGCGUAGCCGACCUGAGAGGGUGGUCCGCCACACUGGAACUGAGACACGGUCCAGACUCCGACGGGAGGCAGCAGUAGGGAAUCUUCCGCAAUGGGCGAAAGCUUGACGGAGCAACGCCGCGUGAGUGAUGAAGGUCUUCGGAUCGUAAAACUCUGUUAUUAGGGAAGAACAAAUGUGUAAGUAACUAUGCACGUCUUGACGGUACCUAAUCAGAAAGCCACGGCUAACUACGUG